rnacentral:rRNA from 1 species
CCUACGGGAGGCAGCAGUGGGGAAUAUUGCACAACGGGCGCAAGCCUGAUGCAGCCAUGCCGCGUGUAUGAAGAAGGCCUUCGGGUUGUAAAGUACUUUCAGCGGGGAGGAAGGUGUUGCGGUUAAUAACCGCAGCAAUUGACGUUACCCGCAGAAGAAGCACCGGCUAACUCCGUGCCAGCAGCCGCGGUAAUACGGAGGGUGCAAGCGUUAAUCGGAAUUACUGGGCGUAAAGCGCACGCAGGCGGUCUGUCAAGUCGGAUGUGAAAUCCCCGGGCUCAACCUGGGAACUGCAUUCAAAACUGGCAGGCUGGAGUCUUGUAGAGGGGGGUAGAAUUCCAGGUGUAGCGGUGAAAUGCGUAGAGAUCUGGAGGAAUAUCGGUGGCGAAGGCGGCCCCCUGGACAAAGACUGACGCUCAGGUGCGAAAGCGUGGGGAGCAAACAGGAUUAGAUACCCCUGUAGUC